rnacentral:lncRNA from 10 species
AGAAGAACCAGGAGCUGCCCCAGGCUGGGAUCCCAGUGCCAGAGCGAUGGUCGGACAGGCAUACCCUGGACACAGGGAGAGAGCUGACUGCGGCUCACGAGGCAGAGGGGCCAGGAUGAACAAAACAGCAGAGUUUCCAACAAAGACAAGAUCAGCGCCGGGACACACAGGAGCCCGUUCAAGGUGAGAAAAAACAGCAACUCUGCAAUGGCAGCCACACGCACAGAGGCAUGCUGAGCACCCCCAGACCAUGUGCACGGCGGUCCUGUAAGACUCUAAUGCAAACCUGGCAUGGGGGCUCACCCCUGUCAUCCCAGCACUUUGGGAGGCUGAGGUGGGCGGAUU